UAAAAAAAAGCAAUUGAGAAACAGGGAGAUUGUUUUGUUAGUCACGAAAGAAAUGUCUAAAUAGGAUUGCUAAAUUAUGUAUAAGACUGGCUGUCUAAAGGCCAAUAAAUUACAUUAUCAAUAUUUUGUGGUUUACCUCUAACUUUAUUGAGCUGUAAACUGCUUGCACAUUUAUCGGUUGUGGGUUGUUAAUCAAAUAUACUGUGAUCACAAAGUUACACCUCCAAGCGUUUCAGGUGAGAGUCCAGCAGAAUUUUUAUAAAAUGCUCUGACAUUGUAAAACAGUAAUCAGUACUUUGUCUCUUUCUAGAUACAGCCCCGUAGGUCACCGUGUUUUCUAUAGCGAGAUGCCUUUUGGGUUCAGAGGGAUGCCGUGAUAACCCUCAUCCCCUGCACAUCUUACUAGAGGUUUAUUUACAAUGUACAAUCCAGACACAGCAGGUGCAGCAUACUGAAAGGGUUUCCUAGCUGGCUUUAGAAUAUAUGAAUAUCAGAAGAGUGCCCUGAGGUAAAGAAGAUACCACUUUUUAAGGAAAAGAGCCAAUUUGGGAAGCAAGAGCUGUGCUUUCCGUGGCCGGACAGAUCAUUGGAUACACCUUAAAAUGCAAAUUGCUCCUUUCUAGAUACUGG